UGCCACAUAUAUCAGAAGCCCAUAUCGAAGGAUAUUUUCAAUACAGACAAGCAGUUGACAGGCAAAUGAUGGGCAAUACAAAGGCGAUUGUGAAAGGAAAAUUGCUCUUGGAGUCGGAGAGAGUUAAAGCACUGAGUAUUAACUGUCAACAUGAGGACUUUUUUCUUACAGGAUUUGUCCGAGCAGCAAUGAAGAAAAAGGCUCCCCCAUAAAAGCAGAAGACAUGCCUUGUCGGUACAACCCAGAUCUUAGUGACCCAAGGCGUCAGAAAUACAGAGGAAUUGCUGGAUACAACGAUUAUGU